rnacentral:rRNA from 1 species
AGAGUUUGAUCAUGGCUCAGAUUGAACGCUGGCGGUAUGCCUAACACAUGCAAGUCGAACGAGACCUUCGGGUCUAGUGGCGCACGGGUGCGUAACGCGUGGGAAUCUGCCCUUGGGUUCGGAGUAACAGUUAGAAAUGACUGCUAAUACCGGAUAAUGUCUUCGGACCAAAGAUUUAUCGCCCAGGGAUGAGCCCGCGUAGGAUUAGCUAGUUGGUGAGGUAAAGGCUCACCAAGGCGACGAUCCUUAGCUGGUCUGAGAGGAUGAUCAGCCACACUGGGACUGAGACGCGGCCCAGACUCCUACGGGAGGCAGCAGUGGGGAAUAUUGGACAAUGGGCGAAAGCCUGAUCCAGCAAUGCCGCGUGAGUGAUGAAGGCCUUAGGGUUGUAAAGCUCUUUUACCCGGGAUGAUAAUGACAGUACCGGGAGAAUAAGCCCCGGCUAACUCCGUG